GAAAUGCGAUAAGUAAUGUGAAUUGCAGAAUUCAGUGAAUCAUCGAAUCUUUGAACGCACCUUGCGCUCCUUGGUAUUCCGAGGAGCAUGCCUGUUUGAGUGUCAUUUAAUUCUCAACCACACUUGGCUUUGUUAGGCUGGGCUUGUGGCUUGGAUAUGGGGGUACUUUUGCGGGCUUCACGUCAGCUCCCCUAAAAUGCAUUAGCGGAACCGUUUGCGGUCAGUCACCGGUGUGAUAAUUAUCUACGCCAAAGACAAAGACUGCUCUCUGUCUGUUCAGCUCAUAACUGUCCUUACAGACAACUUUUGAACGUUUGACCUCAAAUCAGGUAGGACUACCCGCUGAACUUAA
rnacentral:misc_RNA from 1 species